rnacentral:rRNA from 1 species
UACGUAGGGUCCGAGCGUUGUCCGGAAUUAUUGGGCGUAAAAGGCUCGUAGGCGGUUUGUCGCGUCGGGGAGUGAAAACUCAGGGCUCAACCCUGAGCGUGCUUCCGAUACGGGCAGACUAGAGGUAUGCAGGGGAGAACGGAAUUCCUGGUGUAGCGGUGGAAUGCGCAGAUAUCAGGAGGAACACCGGUGGCGAAGGCGGUUCUCUGGGCAUUACCUGACGCUGAGGAGCGAAAGCAUGGGGAGCGAACAGG